AGAGCGAACGCUGGCGGCAGGCCUAACACAUGCAAGUCGAGCGCCCGUAGCAAUACGGGAGCGGCAGACGGGAUAGUAACACGUGGGAACGCGCCCUUCGGUUCGGAAUAACUCAGGGAAACUUGAGCUAAUACCGGAUACGCCCUUACGGGGAAAGAUUUAUUGCCGAAGGAACGGCCCGCGUCCGAUUAGCUAGUUGGUGAGGUAAUGGCUCACCAAGGCGACGAUCGGUAGCUGGUCUGAGAGGAUGACCAGCAUCACUGGGACUGAGACACGGCCCAGACUCCUACGGGAGGCAGCAGUGGGGAAUAUUGGACAAUGGGCGCAAGCCUGAUCCAGCCAUGCCGCGUGGAUGAUGAAGGCCUUAGGGUUGUAAAGUCCUUUUAACGGGGAAGAUAAUGACGGUACCUGUAGAAUAAGCCCGGCUAACUUCGCGCCAGCAGCCGC
rnacentral:rRNA from 1 species